AGUAACGCGUGAGGAACCUGCCUCAAAGAGGGGGACAACAGUUGGAAACGACUGCUAAUACCGCAUAAGCCCACAGCUCGGCAUCGAGCAGAGGGAAAAGGAGUGAUCCGCUUUGAGAUGGCCUCGCGUCCGAUUAGCUAGUUGGUGAGGUAAUGGCCCACCAAGGCGACGAUCGGUAGCCGGACUGAGAGGUUGAACGGCCGCAUUGGGACUGAGACACGGCCCAG
rnacentral:rRNA from 1 species